rnacentral:lncRNA from 1 species
GGUUUACUCUAGGUUUCCACACCCUGAUGCUCCUGCCUUUACUUUGACACCUCUGACUGCCAGGUUUUCACAGACCUGUUGACAGUGACUCAAGAUCUGGAAUGUAAUGGAUGGUUUGGCAACAGUGUUUGCUUGAGCAGUUUAAAAUCUGGCCAGGGAGACUCAAUGUGAGCAAGAAAAUGAUAGAAUACCAAGUUUUCUGGAGGUCAGAGGGAGCUGAGUUGAGUGUUACCGAGAAUGCUGUGGGGUUUGAGAUGAGAAAAAUAGCUUGCUAAUUUAAAAGACGGAUUAUUUUUCCCUAAAGACCUUGACUUAUGUAAAUGUAUAUUAUCCAUAAUUUUAAAAAUCCACUUAUGGCUGGGCACAGAAGCUCACACCUGUAAUCCCAGCACUUUGGGAGGCUGAGGCAGGAGGAUCAGUUGAGUCCAGGAGUUCGAGACCAGCCUGGGCAACAUAGUGAAACCCUGUAUCUACAAAACAUAGAAAAACUAGUUGGGUGUGGUGGUGUGUACCUGUAGUUCCAGCUACUAGGGAGGUAGGAAGAUCACCUGAGCCCAUGGAGAUUGAGGCUGUGGUGAGCUGUGAAGGCACCACAGCACUCUGGCCUGGGCAAGAGUGGGACUCUCUCAAAAAAAAAAAAAAAAAAAAAUCCACAUAUCCAGCCUUCCAAGUCAGUCUUUAAUAAUGUGCACGGGCCAGGCACAGUGGCUCACACCCGUAAUCCCAACACUUUGGAAUAUUAGGGUGGGAGCAUCACUUGAGGCCAGGAAUUUGAGACCAGCCUGGGCAACAUAGUGAGACUGCCCCCCCCAUCUCUACAAAAAAUAAAAAUCAAAAAUAAUACUGUGGGCAAACUUUACUUAGAUUUUAUUCAGAGUAGUGCCUGUUUAUUUUUCAUCUGUGCUACCUGUGCCGGCAUUCCAUAUGCAUUUGAUUUAGUCUUUAAAGUACCCCGGUAAAAUAGGUCUUUUGUCUGCAUUUUUCAGAUGGGAAGACUGAGGUUUUGUUUAUUUAUUUUUAUUUAUUUAUUUUUUGAGACGGAGUCUCGCUCUGUUGCCUAGGCUGGAGUGCGAUGGCACAAUCUUGGCUCACUACAACCUCCGCUUCCUGGGUUCAAGCGAUUCUCCUGCCUCAGCCUCCUGAGUAGCUAGGAUUACAGGCGCCCACAACCGCACCCGGCUAAUUUUUUGUAUCUUUAGUAGAGACAGGGUUUCACUAUGUUGUCCAAGCUGGUUUCGAAUUCCUGACCUCAGGUGAUCCACCCGCCUCUGCCUCCCAAAAUGUUGGGAUUACAGGCGUGAGCCACCACGCCCAGCCUAUUUAUUUAUUUUUUUAGAAUCAAGAUCUUGCUAUGUUGCCCAGGCUGAACUCGAACUCCUGGGCUCAAGCAAUCCUGCCUCCCAAGCCAAGCAGCUGGUACUGCAAGCAUGUGCCACCGUGCCUGGCUCCUGAAGACUGAGGUUGGUUUAGAUUAAUGAGUUGCCCAAAUUCAGACAGUUCUUAAGUGGCAAAGUUAGGAUUCCAACCCAGGUCAACAUAACUAAAGCCCAAACCCCAUCUCACCCCUCUAGGCCAUCAAGUAUUGGCUGGGUGCGGUGGUUUAUGUCUGUAAUCCCAGCACUUUGGGAGGCGGAGGCGGGAGGACUGUUUGAGCUCAGGAGUUUGAGACCAGCCUGGGCAACAUAACAAGACCCUGUCUCUACAAAAAUAUAUAAAUUAGCCGGGUGUACUGGCUCACACCUGUAGCUACUUGGGAGGCUGAGGUGGGAGGAUCGCUUGAGCCUGGGAGGUCAAGGCUGCGGUGACCUGUGAUUGCACCACCAGGAGACCCUGUCUUAAAAAUGUAUAUAUAAAAAUAAAAAGAACAUCAGACAUCACCAUCACCUCGCUUAGAAUCCAUGGGGCCUUCUCCUCAAAUUCAAUCUUCCCAGGCAUUUCAUGAACUUGCGUCUAGUUUCUGUUCCCUCUCAAAUUGCCCAGGCUGUCCUGUGAGUGACAGCAGCUAUUUCGUGGGCCUCCUCUGGAAUCAUGAGAAGUCACCCAAACAAUCUCAGUUUUCUAGCUCACUCCGUCUUGACAUUUCUACACUGUCAUCCUUGGUUUUCUUGGAAAUUAAUUUGCUUUUCUUCAUUGUCUUUCUUUGGAGCUGCUUUCCUUUUGUUGGUUACUAUUUUAUUUUUAGCUUCUCACACCAUACCGACAUAUGUUGGUUAUUCUUUUAGACAUGUUUUUUGUUGUUGUUGUCACCUGGAACUUUUGUAUCUUGAAUAAAUUUGGGGAUCAAAUA